AACCUCACCAGGGACCUGCAGUCCGUUGUUGCUGAAAAUUCUGGAAUAUUCACCCGUGGUCACCUGGUGGUCUGAGGACUUUCUGAAUGGGUUGCAGUCCAGGAGUCCAGCGAUGAAUCUACGAGGAGUUCCCUGCGACUCCAGAACCGAUGAACGUCGAUGAUUCCUGCGGCUCAGUGUUGAGGUUGGAAAACCUUAAUGCCUGAUGUGUGACUGAUGUUCUAAUCACUGGGAUAAACUCAGAGACCCCACCCUUCAGAUCCUGGCUUCCAGACCACCCAAAGCGUCUGUGCCGUCUGUGUUUCAGGCUGCGACACAAGACUGAUGCACAAUUACUGACACCAGCAGCCGAGGCACCAUUGGAGGAGGAGGAGGAGGAGGAGGAGGAGAAGGUUUUCCUCUGCCUCAGCCAGAGCCCUGCUCCUCUCCACUCCUCAGCCCGAGCCCCCAAAACAACGCUGGCUUUGUUCAGGGUUUUAAUUGUCCGCAGACAUCUCCUCUCCUCUCUCCGCUCGGACUCUGACACACACUGAGCUUCCGAGGCCCGCGCCAGCCGUGCACCCACAUUCCUUAAACAUGGAAUAUGGCUGGUGUGGGCUUGGCACGGCCGCGCCACGGAACUGCUGAGUGAAGGGUUUCUGCAGGAAUCCAGACUGGAUCGGUUUACACUGCAGUUCAGUCAGAACCAGGUUCAACAUGAACGCACUGAUCCUGCACCAAACUGUACCAGGGCUCUGAAUGUUGUGGAGUUUAGGACCUGGACUGACUGGGGUUUUCUCACCAAGACCUUUGAGGGUCGUCGUCCUCAGAGUUUUCCCAGUGUCAAUCUGGAAAAUGUCGCUCCCUGGAGCCAAACCAGACUGGACUUUUUCAUCAGGAAUUCUUGGAUCACCACAUACAUCCCAGUCAGAAAACUGAACCCCGCUUCCCGCCUUUGUCUGCGUCUCUCUGCAUUCAUACUGACGGACAAAUAAACUCUGGCCAACCACAAGUCCGUUUGAGUGCCUCGGAAUUCAUCAGGACAUGUCUCUGGUACGGAAUAACUCUCUCACCAGUGGCGCCUUUUGUUUUCCAUCACACAGUAAUUACAGCAAAUACACGGAAUACUCCUAAAUAAACAGAUAUUUGAGAAAAUGUUCCCGCUCCGGCUCUGGUUCAGUCCAGAACCUUCUGUUGGUCCACAGAGUAAACCCAGACUCAGAUUUUGGUCUUUUAUAUUUACCUGUCUGUCCAGUUUACACUCUGGGAAAAUGUCCCCCUCCCCUUCCCCAUGUUGUCCCCUUCCCCAGGACAAACUGCAUGCUGGGUCAUAAAUCAUCUUCAUGAUGGGUGGGGGCGGGGGGCAGACUGAAUCAGUGGGGUUUAAGGCCACGUCAGCUCAAUACCAGUGACUGAACAUUCCUCCAAAAGUCUGACAGGACUCACUGUGAGGUGACAGUGAUGAUGGAUGGUCCAAGGUCAGGACUGGACCAACCUGGACCAAGAAAGACUCCAAAUACCAGGUCCAUACACAGCCUGGUGGACUGUGGGAAUGAAACCCAAACUAAAACAUUAUUCUGAUCAGAGUGAUCUUCUAGGCCUUCUUCUUCAGCAGAUCAUCUGCCCAUACACACCUUUUAUGAUCAUUAGCUCUGGUUACCAUGGGAACCAAGACUUUGAUGGAACAUGUCAGACUGGGUCUGUCUAUAUUCAGACCUCGUGGCCACAGUUGUUAUUAUUGUUUCUGGAUUAUUUAUGGAUCCACGGACGAACCACAUCUGGCACUCGUCUGGUUCCAGAGUCGGACUUUGGAAACGAGGAGAGAAACAUACAGCAUCUUUUUCUGGGGUCCAGGUGGAUGGACCCCAUCCACGUUCUGUGUGGAACCUACAGGAGAGAACGUUUGUUCUUUAAAGACCAGAUGACAUUUCUCUGACUCUGGUUCUGGGCCUCGUGCAGUCCAGCUGUGGUCCAGUUGGCAGCUCAUGUGAGACCAGGGUUUGGCUCCGCUGCAGUCCUAAUGCUCCUGUUGUUCAUUUGUCAUUCAUUCUGUGUGGUUCCCGCUGGGUUUGAAGACUCCUGCUCGUUAGGAAUUCCUUGUAGAGGAGAUCGGAGGAACGUUCAGCUCAUUAGGAUUUUAUUAUGUUGAAGUUCCAUCCAGUGGAACUCCGUCUGAAAACUUUCCUCGCAGGAUGUUAAUGUGGUGGGUGUGGUGCAUCAGUGGAAAUGUGAGGUUUAUAGUGUGGUGGGAAUAAAGUCAGAUUCAUCUGCAUUUAAAGGAGCAAUAUGAAAAAUAUAUAGAGAGAGAAAACUUCUUUUCAUGCUUUCUACAGACCCAAAACCUGUUUCCUGACAAAAAUCUCUCUGAGAUCUACAGAAAAGUCCUCCUUUUUAACAGCAUUCUCAUUGAAGAUUGAGGCAAUACUUGGUGGUGGCUCCUAUUGGCUACCAACGAGAGCCAAUGAGAACGUUAUGGACAGAGAAGUGUGGGGAGAGGAGUCGACACUAAAGUCAGUCCAAAGAUGAUAUCAGCAGUGAACUCUGGGGAACGAGAUACUGCCUUAGAUCAGUGGUUCUCAAAGUGGGGGGCCCAACUCUCCAGUGUUGUUGGAUGAUGCGGCACGUGCACGUCCUCAGACUUUCUUCUGUUCUUCUCUGAAUGUGAUGGAAACUUGUAAGACAGACGUGAUGUUCAGAAUAAAAUGUUUCUGACAUAAGAAA